AACUGUGCUUUCACUGACUAAGAAGGACAUGCUUAAGGUUAAGGUGAAUACUGUACUUGGUUCAAAUGCACCUCCUCUGACUGUAAAACUUGUACGAGUUCUCAGUUCUGAUUCAAAGGAUACUUCCAUAUUUGAGAACCAGGAACUCAAGUUUGAUCCUGAAAGUGAGGAGUAUUUAUUGGAUGCUUUGCCAAAGAGUGUUGAUGUUGGAAAUUAUAUUUUUGUUUUUGAGGCAGUGCUUCAUGAUCCUGAGCAUAAAAAAAUUUAUACCAUGGGAAGUCAAACUCAAGUUCCAAUUUUUUUAACGGGAGUUAUCAAAGUUGAUAAUGCUGAAAUUGAAGUGCUUGAUAGUGACUUGGGGAUUGUA
rnacentral:misc_RNA from 1 species